CUACGUGCCAGCAGCCGCGGUAAUACGUAGGUCCCGAGCGUUGUCCGGAUUUAUUGGGUUUAAAGGGAGCGUAGGCGGAUUGUUAAGUCAGCGGUUAAAGGGUGUGGCUCAACCAUGCAUUGCCGUUGAAACUGGCGAUCUUGAGUGCAGACAGGGAUGCCGGAAUUCGUGGUGUAGCGGUGAAAUGCUUAGAUAUCACGAAGAACUCCGAUCGCGAAGGCAGGUGUCCGGGCUGCAACUGACGCUGAGGCUCGAAAGUGUGGGUAUCAAACAGGAUUAGAUACCCUGGUAGUCCACACAGUAAACGAUGUAUACUCGCGGUUUGCGAUAGACAGUAAGCCGCCAAGCGAAAGCAUUAAGUAUACCACCUGGGGAGUACGCCGGCAACGGUGAAACUCAAAGGAAUUGACGGGGGCCCGCACAAGCGGAGGAACAUGUGGUUUAAUUCGAUGAUACGCGAGGAACCUUACCCGGGCUUGAAC
rnacentral:rRNA from 1 species